rnacentral:rRNA from 1 species
GACGAACGCUGGCGGCGUGCUUAACACAUGCAAGUCGAACGGAAAGGCCCCUUUGGGGGUCCUCGAGUGGCGAACGGGUGAGUAACACGUGAGUAACCUGCCCUUGACUUCGGGAUAACUUCAGGAAACUGGGGCUAAUACCGGAUAGGAAUCCUUGCUGCAUGGUGGGGGUUGGAAAGCUUCGGCGGUUUUGGAUGGACUCGCGGCUUAUCAGCUUGUUGGUGGGGUAGUGGCUUACCAAGGCUUUGACGGGUAGCCGGCCUGAGAGGGCGACCGGCCACAUUGGGACUGAGAUACGGCCCAGACUCCGACGGGAGGCAGCAGUGGGGAAUAUUGCACAAUGGGCGGAAGCCUGAUGCAGAAACGCCGCGUGCGGGAUGACGGCCUUCGGGUUGAAAACCGCUUUCAGCAGGGGCGAAGCUUGUGGUGACGGUACCUGCAGAAGAAGCACCGGCUAACUACGUG